rnacentral:lncRNA from 1 species
AUGGGGCGGCGGGUGAUGGGGAUGGGGACGGGGGUCGAUGGGGACGGGGAUGGUGCCCGUGGGGCGCAGCGCGUGUCCGCAGUGUCCGUGGGGCGGUCACGGCUGCGCCCGUGGGAAGCGCUGUGGGAAGGGGCUGGGGACGGUGCCCACCCGGGAUGGGGACGAAGGAGGAUGGAGGCCCAGCGAUGGCGCCGUGCCGCCCCCAGACCCCGCCGUGUCCCGCGUGGAUCCGGGCUGUCCCGCAGCACAACGGGGCGCGACGUGGGGCCGGGGGCGGCCACGUGCACUACGGGAACUGCGGGGGUCAAUGGGGACGGAACCGGGGGGACCCGACCCGCAGCCCGCGACCCUCCCGUCCCACCCCACCUCUUUCCCAGCAGCCCCCACGCUCUGCCCCCACCCCCUCCCGGACUACAAUUCCCAUCGUGCUCAGGUUUAAAGGGCCGUUGUCAUGGCGGGGGGGUCCCACCCCCACAACACAGAGGGUCCCCGGGGGGGGGGGGGGCAGCCAGGGGAUGGGAACAGCCACAGGGUUGGGGUCGGGGACGGACAAACCCACGGCGAAAGCCCACGGGGGUUGAGGAGGCUCGGGGGGGGGGCAGCCAUAGGAUGGUGGCACAGUGGUACCCAAGGGAUGGCAGUGCCCGGGGGGGGGUCCCAUUGGCACAGCCACUAAUGGAUCCCCCCAUCCCCCCCCAGCACUCCCCCCAUGGUGCUGCCCUGCUCCGUGUCCCUCUGAUCCCACAGCCCCCACCACCCCAUGACCCCUCCUGCUCCCCCUGUGUGCCCCCCCCGCCCCCAUGUCCCCCUCCCUUCCCCCCCCCCUAUAGCUGGGCUGCCAGCGUGGCAGGGAGGGGUGUUGUUGCCCCCAGCCCCGCCGUGCUGUGCCGUACACUUUAUCCUCAGCAAACACAGCGCACCCACAGCCCCCCCCCGCCACCACCGUCUGUCUGUGAUAACACCAGGGCUGGGCUGAGCCGCUGCCCCCCAGCUGCACCCAUGGGGGAGUGGUGGGGAAACUGA